CCCUUAGAUGUCCGGGGCCGCACGCGCGCUACACUGAAGGAAUCAGCGUGGCUUUCUCCCUGACCCGAAAGGGUUGGGAAACCCGUUGAAUCUCCUUCGUGAUAGGGAUUGGGGCUUGAAAUUGUUCCCCAUGAACGAGGAGUUCCCAGUAAGCGCGAGUCAUAAGCUCGCGUUGAUUACGUCCCUGCCCUUUGUACACACCGCCCGUCGCUACUACCGAUUGAACGGUUUAGUGAGGGCCUCGGAUUGGUCUCGGCCCGCUCUUCACCGGGCGGCGCCGUUGGUCGAGAAGACGCUCGAACUUGAUCGUUUAGAGGAAGUAAAAGUCGUAACA
rnacentral:rRNA from 1 species